UGGCGGACGGGUGAGUAACGCGUGGAAAACCUGCCGUAUACUGGGGGAUAACACUUAGAAAUAGGUGCUAAUACCGCAUAAGCGCACAGCUUCGCAUGAAGCGGUGUGAAAAACUCUGGUGGUAUACGAUGGUUCCGCGUCUGAUUAGCUAGUUGGUGGGGUAAUGGCCUACCAAGGCAACGAUCAGUAGCCGGCCUGAGAGGGUGGACGGCCACAUUGGGACUGAGACACGGCCCAAACUCCUACGGGAGGCAGCAG
rnacentral:rRNA from 1 species